GAAACCCGGGCAAAAUGUUUGUGGUGGAACUGGACCAUACUUAACUCACUUUGGCUCACUUGGAGGAAAGAGAUUCACUGUGGGUGUCCUUAGCUCAGUAUAGUUAUGGAAAACUUCCAAUUGACGGGGUCAUUCCAGAU